GAUGAACGCUGGCGGCGUGCCUAAUACAUGCAAGUCGAGCGAACAGACGAGGAGCUUGCUCCUCUGACGUUAGCGGCGGACGGGUGAGUAACACGUGGAUAACCUACCUAUAAGACUGGGAUAACUUCGGGAAACCGGAGCUAAUACCGGAUAAUAUAUUGAACCGCAUGGUUCAAUAGUGAAAGACGGUCUUGCUGUCACUUAUAGAUGGAUCCGCGCCGCAUUAGCUAGUUGGUAAGGUAACGGCUUACCAAGGCAACGAUGCAUAGCCGACCUGAGAGGGUGAUCGGCCACACUGGAACUGAGACACGGUCCAGACUCUUACGGGAGGCAGCAGUAGGGAAUCUUCCGCAAUGGGCGAAAGCCUGACGGAGCAACGCCGCGUGAGUGAUGAAGGUCUUCGGAUCGUAAAACUCUGUUAUUAGGGAAGAACAAAUGUGUAAGUAACUAUGCACGUCUUGACGGUACCUAAUCAGAAAGCCACGGCUAACUACGUG
rnacentral:rRNA from 1 species